rnacentral:rRNA from 1 species
ACAAGUAAGAAAGGGCGUACGGUGGAUGCCUAGGCUCUUGCAGGCGAUGAAGGACGUGAUAAGCUGCGAUAAGUCACGAGGAGGUGCAAAUAACCUUUGAUUCGUGAAUUUCCGAAUGGGACAACCUGGCUGUCUGAAGGACAGUCGCACCACAAUGUGGUGAGCGAACGCGGGGAACUGAAACAUCUUAGUACCCGUAGGAAGAGAAAAUAAAAAAUGAUUCCCCAAGUAGUGGCGAGCGAACGGGGAAGAGCCCAAACCACCGAUGUUCCGGCAUCGUUGGGGUUGUAGGACUGCAAUGUCGCAAGAAGGAUGGUGAGUGGAAGCGUUUGGAAAAUCGCUCCAAAGAUGGUGAUAGACCAGUACACGAAGCCAUACGAAGCGUAGCAGACUCCUGAGUAGCGCGGGACACGAGAAAUCCUGUGUGAAUCCGGCGGGACCAUCCGCCAAGGCUAAAUACUCGCAAGAGACCGAUAGCGAACCAGUACCGUGAGGGAAAGGUGAAAAGCACUGCGAAUAGCAGAGUGAAAAAGUUCCUGAAACCGUACGCCUACAAGCGGUUGGAGCACCUUAUGGUGUGACAGCGUGCCUUUUGCAUAAUGAACCUACGAGUUGCCGUCGCCGGCAAGGUUAAGAGCAAAGAUGCUCGGAGCCGAAGCGAAAGCGAGUCCUAACGAGGCGCCAAGUCAGCGGCGGCAGACGCGAAACCAAGUGAUCUACCCUUGUCCAGGUUGAAGUCCGGGUAACACCGGAUGGAGGACCGAACCAAUAAGCGUUGAAAAGCUUCUGGAUGAGGUGAGGGUAGGAGUGAAAGGCCAAUCAAACUUGGAGAUAGCUCGUACUCCCCGAAAUGCAUUUAGGUGCAGCCUCGGGUGUUCCCUACGUGAGGUAGAGCGACUGAUCGGAUGCGAGGGCUUCACCGCCUAUCAAGUCCGGACAAACUCCGAAUGCGCGUAGGUCAUAACCCGGGAGUGAGGGCAUGGGUGCUAAGGUCCGUGCCCGAGAGGAGAAGAAUCCAGACCGCCAGCUAAGGCCCCGAAAUAUGGGUUAAGUUAAACUAACGAAGUGCGGUUCCCGUGACAGCUAGGAUGUUGGCUUGGAAGCAGCCAUUCAUUCAAAGAGUGCGUAACAGCUCACUAGUCGAGGGACUGUGCAUGGAUAAUAAUCGGGUAUGAAACCCAUUGCCGAAGCUGCGGGACAUCUUAGGAUGUCGGUAGGGGAGCAUUCUAGUGGCGUUGAAGGUAUGAGGACAACUCAUGCUGGAGCAUCUGGAAAAGCAAAUGUAGGUAUAAGUAACGAUAAAGAGUGUGAGAUGCACUCUCGCCGUAAGACUAAGGUUUCCCGGGCAACGUUAAUCGGCCCGGGGUGAGUCGGGACCUAAGGAUAAGCCGAAAGGCGAGGCCGAUGGCAGAAAGGGUUAAUAUUCCCUUACUACCUUUAUGGGCGACGCGGAGACGGAGAAGUGAAACUCUCGCGUGCAGACGGAAUAGCACGUUAAAGAGUGUAGACGUAGAUUAGGGUAGGCAAAUCCGCCCUAAGAGUCGAACUUGAUAGUACACAAAGCCUUCGGGCAGCGUGAUAGCAGAGGUAAGCAGGCUCCCAAGAAAAUCCGCUAAGCUUUAACCAUAGAGGUACCCGUACCGCAAACGGACACACGUAGUCGAGUAGAAUAUACUAAGGCGCUUGGAAGAUUCACGGUUAAGGAACUAGGCAAAUUGACCCCGUAACUUCGGAAUAAGGGGUCCUCACGCGAGUGAGGCGCAGAGAAUAGGUCCAGGCAACUGUUUAACAAAAACACAGGGCUGUGCGAAAUCGAAAGAUGAGGUAUACAGUCUGACACCUGCCCGGUGCCGGAAGGUUAAGAGGAGAUGUCAUCGCAAGAGAAGCAUUGAAUUGAAGCCCCGGUAAACGGCGGCCGUAACUAUAACGGUCCUAAGGUAGCGAAAUUCCUUGUCGGGUAAGUUCCGACC